GUGGAUAUGGCGGCGGCGGCUAUGGUGGUGGUGGAUAUGGUGGCGGUGGCUAUGGCGGUGGUGGAUAUGGUGGCGGAUAUGGAAAAUAAAAUGGACAUCACUAAACGAAGCAACGCAGAAACAAACGCUUCACAAAUUGUAAGAUGCUGUGAUGCCCAAUGUUAAUAAUAAACGUCUUUUACAUG